CGACGCACACGGCUCUAUACACGUAGUCAACCUAACUCGUGGACGUGGAUAAUCUCGGGAAACUGAGGAUAAACCACGAUAGAUAACGGUGCCUGGAAUGGCCCAUUGUCCAAACAGUUUACUGCCACGGGAUGGGACUGCGGCCUAUCAGCUUGUUGGUGAGGUAAUGGCCCACCAAGGCUAUAACAGGUACGGGCUCUGAGAGGAGAAGCCCGGAGAUAGGUACUGAGACACGGACCCAGGCCCUAUGGGGCGCAGCAGGCGAGAAACCUUAGCAAUGUGCGAAAGCACGACUGGGUCAGUCCGAGUGAUUUCUGAUAGGAAUCUUUUGCCCGUCCUAAAAGCACGGGCGAAUAAGGGGUGGGCAAGUCUGGUGUCAGCCGCCGCGGUAAUACCAGCACCUCGAGUGGUCAGGACGUUUAUUGGGCCUAAAGCAUCCGUAUCUGGUUUUGCAAGUCUCCGGUUAAAUCCACCUGCUUAACAGAUGGGCCGCUGGAGAUACUACAAGACUAGGGAGUGGGAGACGCAGACGGUAUUCGGGGGGUAGGGGUAAAAUCCUCUGAUCCUUUGAGGACCACCAGUGGCGAAGGCGGUCUGCCAGAACACGUUCGACAGUGAGGGAUGAAAGCUGGGGGAGCAAACCGGAUUAGAUACCCGGGUAGUCCCAGCUGUAAACGAUGCAGACUCGGUGAUGCAUUGGAAUCUUGCCGGUGCAGUGCCGCAGGGAAGCCGUUAAGUCUGCCGCCUGGGAAUUAGUCGCAGUGGUGUA
rnacentral:rRNA from 1 species